AUUGAACGCUGGCGGCAGGCCUAACACAUGCCAGUCGAACGAGUGGCGGACGGGUGAGUAAUGUCUGGGAAACUGCCUGAUGGAGGGGGAUAACACUUGGAAACAGGUGCUAAUACCGCAUACUGAUGGAUGGACCCGCGGUGCAUUAGCUAGUUGGUGAGGUAACGGCUCACCAAGGCCACGAUGCAUAGCCGACCUGAGAGGGUGAUCGGCCACACUGGGACUGAGACACGGCCCAGACUCCUACGGGAGGCAGCAGUGGGGAAUAUUGCACAAUGGGCGCAAGCCUGAUGCAGCCAUGCCGCGUGUAUGAAGAAGGCCUUCGGGUUGUAAAGUACUUUCAGCGGGGAGGCGUUACCCGCAGAAGAAGCACCGGCUAACUCCGUGCCAGCAGCCGCGGUAAUUC
rnacentral:rRNA from 1 species